rnacentral:rRNA from 1 species
AGCAAAACUUCAAAAAUAGGUCUCAGUUCGGACUGUAGGCUGCAACUCGCCUACACGAAGUUGGAAUUGCUAGUAAUCGUGGAUCAGCAUGCCACGGUGAAUACGUUCCCGGGUCUUGUACACACCGCCCGUCACACCAUGGGAGCUGGUAACACCCGAAGUCAGUAGUCUAACCGCAAGGAGGACGCUGCCGAAGGUGGGAUUAGCGACUGGGGUGAAGUCGUAACAAGGUAGC